UUGACCUCGGAUCAGGUAGGGAUACCCGCUGAACUUAAGCAUAUCAAUAAGCGGAGGAAAAGAAACCAACCA
rnacentral:rRNA from 4 species